rnacentral:rRNA from 1 species
CGGGAAAAGCUCAAAUUUAAAAUCUGGCAGUCUUUGGCUGUCCGAGUUGUAAUCUAGAGAAGCAUUAUCCGCGCUGGACCGUGUACAAGUCUCCUGGAAUGGAGCGUCAUAGAGGGUGAGA